UAUUUUUUGGGAGCAGCUGCUGAGGCUGUUUAGUGUUUUGUAAUAUAUGCUGGUAGUCACAGCUUGGCAGCAGCAGCUGCUUGGACAGGAAGCGCGACAGCGCAACUGCUGACGCUUCGUUUGUUGGCCAAGUUAAGCGACGAUCGCUGCUUUUGGCUUGUUUUUUCGUUCUUGACAAGGUCCAAGAGAAAACAGUUGACUCAGCUCCAGCAGACACACUCACAUAGAAAUUAUGAUUAGCAGCUGGCAAGUUCCUCGUCGCGAGAGUGUGGGAAAAUGCAAUUGGAGCAGCGGCAAUUUAAAUUGUGGGAAAAGCUGGCGGAAAUGCUUUUGCUAGCCGGAUGCUGGUCAAUACCAUAAGCUGGACUAAUCCAACAGUUAUGCGCGGCAGACGCCUGCGCAAACCGGUUAACUGGUUUACCUUUGGCCAAGGAUGUUUGGAAAAGCCGCCUGAACAACUUUUCCAAAUGCAAAGCUAAAUAAAGAAACUCGUUUGCAAAAAAAAAAACAACGACAAAUGGCAAAGCGGCGAGAUA